GCAUGGGUUUGGAUUUCUGAAAGGCCUAUACCCCCUGGGUCUCUCAUAGUGCCCCAUGCUAGAGCAAACUGGCCCCGAACCAUUGCCUGGCCUCUGCCCAUAGGCUGCUGGCACUGAAGUGGGUCACACAGUG
ensembl:snoRNA SNORA80A small nucleolar RNA, H/ACA box 80A